AACCCCUAUUGUCAGUUGCUACGAAAGAGCACUCUAGCGAGACUGCCGUUGACAAAACGGAGGAAGGCGGGGACGACGUCAAAUCAUCAUGCACCUUAUGUCCUGGGCUACACACGUAAUACAAUGGUGGCGAACAGAGGGAAGCAAAGCCGCGAGGUAGAGCAAAACCCUAAAAGCCAUCUCAGUUCGGAUUGCAUGCUGCAACUCGCCUGCAUGAAGCUGGAAUUGCUAGUAAUCGCGGAUCAGAAAGCCGCGGUGAAUACGUUCCCGGGCCUUGUACACACCGCCCGUCACACCAUGAGAGUCGGGAACACCCGAAGUCCGUAGUCUAACCUGCAAAGGAGGGCGCGGCCGAAGUGGGUCCGGUAAUUGGGGUGAAGUCGUAACAAGGUAGCCC
rnacentral:rRNA from 1 species